rnacentral:rRNA from 1 species
UACGUAGGUCUCAAGCGUUGUUCGGAUUCAUUGGGCGUAAAGGGCGUGUAGGCGGCUUUUCAAGUUCGUCGUGAAAGACCCCGGCUAAACCGGGGGAGGUCGAGGGAGACUGAGAAGCUGGAGGGCGGCAGAGGGACAGGGAAUUCCGGGUGUAGUGGUGAAAUGCGUAGAGAUCCGGAGGAACACCAGUGGCGAAGGCGCUGUCCUGGGCCGCAACUGACGCUGAGACGCGAAAGCAUGGGGAGCGAACGGG